UCAUGUUUACCCCUCAGUUGCCAGAGCAGCACAUAAAAAUGAAAAAUGAUCAAAUGCACUUUCAAGAAUAAAACAAAAUUCCUUUCUAAAAAAACAAAAUCAGAUUGGUCAGAUGGGGCCUUUUAAGGAUGAAACCACAUCUGACAUCAUAUAUGAUCACGCACACCUUUUCCACUUCCUCACCCCCUAUCAUGUCGCCCAUAAAACGGCAACAUGUACAAAUACUCACACUUCACCUACCUAAAGCCAUCUUUCUCUCCGGUAAACCAGGUCAGCAAACAAAAAGCAAUUAUGUUAGGCAGCUGCUGCCUGGGAGUGGGUAAUUACAGUGCAGUGUGGACAGCUUCAUUCUAAACAGGUACUAAAAGCAUCAUUAAUCAUUUCCAUCAUGAUGCCUCAGUCCGUUAAUGCUCACGUGACGUGCUGCCAAGGGCCCGCCAGGGAUGGAAGCAGGCAUCUGCGGGAGAUGCCACUGUGCGAUUGGCUGACGGCAGAAGUCCUUGCGAAGGUCAGCCAGUCAGCUGGGCUGACCCGCCUAUGACCUCUUAUCACUUGACUUUUGAAAGGCUGGAGAUCAUGCCUUGAUAUCAGCUGGAGAGUGAGCAAGAGAGCGGGAGGGUAAGAUAAAUGGCACUGAGGGAGAGACAUGGAGGAGAGGAAUGGUGGAGGGAUGGAUGAAUAGGAGAGAGGGGGAAGAUUGAAGACAUUUAGGAUGAAAAAUAAAACAGUGGGUUGAUUGAGCACCGAGGGUUUUCCCCUAUACACAGACUGACCAAUAGAAAUGCGCAUCAUUAUUAUGCAUUAUUGCUUUUCCUGCAGAUGCAUUUUUAGGUCUUAAGCAGGUCCAGAAACCUUUGGUGCCACCCUUUCUUUCGCUUUUUCUGAUUUAUGCCUGUUCUAUAUCUAUAUUACAACUUAAAGACAGCAUUAAAACAGCAUUAAAAUAAAACUAUAUCAAAAUGCUACAUUGGUUUAUUAUAAUUAUUUAAAUAAGACAGUGUUCAAUUUAACAUAUAAACCUAAUUAAUGAGCCUCAGGUGCAAAGACAAUAACAUGGUUGCAUCCGUCAGCAUUCUGUGUAUUGCAACAUGAUGUUUCUGUGUUGUAAACUGCUUCACGGUGACUUGGUUAGUGUGGCAGUCUUGAACUAGGUCUCUGUUAGACAUGGAGAGGAAGAUUGAGAACAAUGCUUUAUCUGAAAGCCAGACAGACAGACAGACAGACAGACAGUGUCCUCUCAUUGUGCCCUGCCUCUUUUCUUCUGCUCCUCACAUCUCCCCCUCCACCUCUUCUUUCUCCUCCAUGUGUGUCUGUGAAGCUAUCACUAUGGCAACCUCACCGAAGGCAGGAGGGAAGUGUGUCUAUGGCAAGGGGGCUGGCUUAGUUCAGACAAAUAAGCAUUGCAGGGCUCAUUUAUUCAAUUUUGUUAACCAGAAAAAAUGAAACAAGAAAGGUCAAAUACAUAUGCGUUUGCAUAUUCAUUUACACGUUUAUGUUUAUAUCACUUGUGCAAAAUGUAAGGAAUGAAAUAUAAGGUUUAUUUUGGUGAAUGAUGCAACUGAAUAAAAUGUCUGGCAGUCCAAUUGAGCCUUGUAUCUGUUAAGAGAAAGCCUUGAAAUAUUACUAUUAAUUUUUCUGUGUUGCCCGUCAAAUUGUUUUUCUAUUUGAUGAAGAAUAUGCUACUUUUCGUUGUUCAUUAAAUGUUUCCUUUUGUUUUCGUACCCCUAGAAAAAACAAAUAUCAGCAUCAGCAGAAUCUAUGCUCUUGUUUUCUUGCUUUUUAGGUCCCUGUAUUGCUUGUCUGCAUCUUUUCAAAGGGCAAACCAAAUCCUGUGAGUCCGCAGUACUACACCAUAGAGGUCAGCGCUGCUUCUUGGGAACCACACAUAAAGGCCUCCUUUAUUUAUUCCAGCAACAAUUGCCAAAGAAGGGCAUGUACAGCCAAAUCUGGGCUCUGUGCUCCCCUCCCCCUUCUCCGAGAGCACAAUUUCUUAGCCUGCCAGAAGUGCUGAGUGCUGCUGUUUGCUUUGUAUACACAGAAAUUUGCUGAGGCUGUAAGCUGUCCCCAAACAUCUGUUCUCAGGAGUCUUAAAUGUGCACAAUAGUAACCAACUAUAUCAAGGACCACCCAUCAGAAGCAUCCACAAGAAGAGGAAGCCACACAGGUGAGACAUGCAGUGGCUUUUAAAAAGGACAGCUAUGAAAACAUUUCACCUGUAUUUUAAGUUUAAAACAACCAAUUCACAUACUAAACCAUAAUAGUCACAUUAUAUGAAGUAGUUUGAACAUUCUGAAAAUGUUUGCAUUUUAAGUAGGAUGAUUUCCCUCCAUUAUAAUAUGGUAUAAUAUUGCCGUUUUCUGGGAUUAUUAUUAUUUGUAUUCAAUUAAAUAUGGAAUUUUGAUGGCUGUUAUUUGGGUGAAACUGCUCGGGAUGAUUUUAUUGAUUUAGUAAUCGAAGACAAAGAGAUAAAAUCCUUUUCAGUGAAUUGCUAAUGCUGAAAUGAACCAUGAGACAUGUACAGAAUCUAUAUAAAGCAGCCAAGUUUAAAGAUACAAAAUAAAGAUAAAAUGCAUCAACUAAUUAUAAGAAGGAAUGAAUAUGAGGAAUCUGAUCUGUGUUUGUUUGAAUUAUAUGAGUGCUGUCCCCACAUAAAUCUGAUAUACUGUAUUGUCCUAUAUGACGAUAUAGUAUAUAAAACUUUAGUUAAUUUGGUUGUAUAUGUACUUAAAUUCCACUAGGAUUUGGGGAAAGAUAUGAUGCAUAUAGAGUAAUUGGCAAUUUUUUUUAUAAUUUGAAAAAUAUAUUACAUAUAUGUACAGGUAGCCUAUAUGUGACAUUUUAUGUCUGUGAAAAUAGUACAUGAACAUAUAGAUGGCUUUUUUCUGUGCUUCUAUAUUUAUGUCUUUUUUGUUCUUGCAAUAAAGCAAAAAAAAAAAAAGCAUAAAGCCAUCUUGGAGGUCACAAAGCUCAGUGUAUUUGCGUCUGGAGUCAUUGAUGCGCACUCCAAUGCAACUGUUACUUAUAGGCCCUUAAUACAGUAAAUAAUGUAUGCUUUCGGUCAUCAUUCUAAGAGCAUUGCUUAGGGAGGU